rnacentral:rRNA from 1 species
GAUGAACGCUGGCGGCGUGCUUAACACAUGCAAGUCGAACGAUUAAACCGCCCUCGGGCGGACAUAGAGUGGCGAAUGGGUGAGUAACACGUGACCAACCUGCCCCGCGCUCCGGGACAACCGCUGGAAACGGCGGCUAAUACCGGAUACUCCGGGAGGGCCCCAUGGCCCUGCCGGGAAAGCCGAGACGGCGCGGGAUGGGGUCGCGGCCCAUUAGGUAGACGGCGGGGUAACGGCCCACCGUGCCCGCGAUGGGUAGCCGGACUGAGAGGUCGACCGGCCACAUUGGGACUGAGAUACGGCCCAGACUCCUACGGGAGGCAGCAGUGGGGAAUUUUGCGCAAUGGGGGAAACCCUGACGCAGCAACGCCGCGUGCGGGACGAAGGCCCUCGGGUUGUAAACCGCUUUCAGCAGGGAAGAUCCAAGACGGUACCUGCAGAAGAAGCUCCGGCUAACUACGUGCCAGCAGCCGCGGUAAUACGUAGGGGGCGAGCGUUAUCCGGAUUCAUUGGGCGUAAAGCGCGCGUAGGCGGCCGCCUAAGCGGGACCUCUAACCCCGGGGCUCAACCCCGGGCCGGGUCCCGGACUGGGCGGCUCGAGUGCGGUAGAGGAGAGCGGAAUUCCCGGUGUAGCGGUGGAAUGCGCAGAUAUCGGGAAGAACACCGAUGGCGAAGGCAGCUCUCUGGGCCGUCACUGACGCUGAGGCGCGAAAGCUGGGGGAGCGAACAGGAUUAGAUACCCUGGUAGUCCCAGCCGUAAACGAUGGGCGCUAGGUGUGGGGGGACGAUCCCUCCGUGCCGCAGCCAACGCAUUAAGCGCCCCGCCUGGGGAGUACGGCCGCAAGGCUAAAACUCAAAGGAAUUGACGGGGGCCCGCACAAGCAGCGGAGCAUGUGGCUUAAUUCGAAGCAACGCGAAGAACCUUACCAGGGCUUGACAUGCCGAUGAAGCCGGGGAGACCCGGUGGCCGAGAGGAGUCGGCGCAGGUGGUGCAUGGCUGUCGUCAGCUCGUGUCGUGAGAUGUUGGGUUAAGUCCCGCAACGAGCGCAACCCCCGCCCCGUGUUGCCAGCAUUCGGUUGGGGACUCGCGGGGGACUGCCGGCGUCAAGCCGGAGGAAGGUGGGGACGACGUCAAGUCAUCAUGCCCCUUAUGCCCUGGGCUGCACACGUGCUACAAUGGCCGGUACAGGGGGUUGCCACCCCGCGAGGGGGAGCGGAUCCCGGAAAGCCGGUCCCAGUUCGGAUCGCAGGCUGCAACCCGCCUGCGUGAAGCCGGAGUUGCUAGUAAUCGCGGAUCAGCACGCCGCGGUGAAUACGUUCCCGGGCCU